AGCAGCCGCGGUAAUUCCAGCUCCAAUAGCGUAUAUUAAAGUUGUUGCAGUUAAAAAGCUCGUAGUUGAAUUUCGGGGUCAGUAGGUUGGUCAUGCCACUGGUAUGUACUGGUCUCACUGAUUCCUCCUUCCUGAUGAACUGUAAUGCCAUUAAUUUGGUGUUGCAGGGAAUCUGGACUGUUACUUUGAAAAAUUAGAGUGUUUAAAGCAGGCUAACGCCUGAAUACAUUAGCAUGGAAUAAUGAAAUAGGACGUUCGAUCCUAUUUUGUUGGUUUCUAGGAUUGACGUAAUGAUUAAUAGGGAUAGUUGGGGGCAUUAGUAUUCAAUUGUCAGAGGUGAAAUUCUUGGAUUUAUUGAAGACUAACUACUGCGAAAGCAUUUGCCAAGGAUGUUUUCAUUAAUCAAGAACGAAAGUUAGGGGAUCGAAGACGAUCAGAUACCGUCGUAGUCUUAACCAUAAACUAUGCCGACUAGGGAUCGGAUGAUGUUAAUUUUUUAAUGACUCU
rnacentral:rRNA from 1 species